rnacentral:sRNA from 1 species
CCAAGUUCUAGCAUGGAGAUAGCCUUAUCUGAGCAACUCAAUAUAUCUCCCAAGAGUUGAAGAGCAAGCUUGGCUUGUUCAUUGUCGCUCGGAAGUAAUGGCAUGACCAUGCCACGCAGCUCCACCAUGAGAGCCUUUUGGUGCUCUAUCAUGUUGAUCACUACUUGACAGUCACUAUGACCAAAAGAUUCGAGAAUUUUCAUCUUAUGAGUUUGUCUAUUAUAGAGAUGUGGCUAUGAUAGUCAGGGCAGAAGGUGUUAGCUAACUGCAGCUUUAGGCAUAUAUUUAUACCGGUAGCAAGCAGCAGCACCA